ensembl:lincRNA
CGGGAACGUGGUUCUCUGUUCAGGACACUGCGUUCAGGUCUGUUUACCUAAACCGGACUGGACUGUGUACUCACUCACUUGUUACAUUGAGAAUUGCUUAUAGCGGUGGUUCUCACCUGGUUGUGCUUCAGAAUCAUCUGGAGAACUUGGAUGUACAGGUACCAGGUCACAUCACAGACACAAUCUGGGAUUGGGGGGGGGGCCAGAUACUGGUAUUUUUUAUUCUGCUUUUCUGCUGUUUCUGAUACACAACUAUAUUUAAGAGCAAAUACUUUGUGUGAUAACCCUGAGUCGUUCUGUCUUUUCCACUUUGCCAGACAAAUAUGGUGAUCUACAUUUUUUCCUCCAUUGACUUUAUUACCCUGACAUGGAAUGGGAACCAUCUGUCCCGGAGGAGGAGGAGCCACAGGGCUCCUCAUUCAACAGAUGUUUGUUUGCCUCCUAGAGCAUGAGGAUUUGUACUGAUUUUUUUUUUUUUUUUUUUUUUUUUUUGGCAAACCCAGUAAAUAUGACUCCUCAGGAAGAACAUUGGGGCCCAAUACGCAUUUAUCUAUAAUAUAAUUGACUUUAGCCAACAGAGGAGAAAGGGAAGGAGUUAUACCUAUUUCAGUUCUGGAUUAAGGAAGAAUACUAGUUUUUAUCAAGUCUUUACAUAUGCCAGGUACGUGCCUGUAUUUUUUGCAUAUUAUACUCAUUUAAUUCUCAUGGUAACUUGCCUUUGGUAAGUUCUAAUGCUAGGCCCAUUUUACAGAUGCAGACGUGGAGGCAUGAAGAAGUCCAGCACUUUAAGGCCAUAGCCCUAGUAAGUGGCAGAGAUGGGGUUAGAACCCCGGUGAACAGUUCUGGAAUCCUUCCCCAAGUGCCUAUCUCUACCAGACCCAGUGAUCUCAGACUAGCCUCAUGGCCCCGCCCACCCACAAGGAGCAGGAAGUGGAAUCCUACCAUGUGCCCAGAAGGGGAAAGACCUGGAAAUAGUUCAUGAACAGCAAUAAUGAUUAUUAUAACUAUAGAAGAGCCAAAAGACCUGGUCUCUGGCCUCAAGAAGCUUGCCUGCUAAAACAAAAUUUGUUUCAUCAACGAAGAAACUCAAAGUUCUGCCUUCUUCUUAAAGGACAAGUUUAACAAUGCCUUGGGGAAGUAUAAUUAUUUAGUUAUUUACAUCAUCAUGUUGAAACCUCCUGUUUAAUUGGAAAGUAUGCCCUCAACUUGCCCUCCACUUCUUCAUGGAGUGUUUCCAGAUAAUGGAGGAGGGGUUACAGAAGUAGAAAGGUUCCUCUCCCCUAAUAACACACAAUCCAAGGAAACAAGAAAGCCAUAUCUUCUGAUUCAUUUAAACCCCUGCCGACAAGCAGCUGUGUUAGAAAUCAGUCUCCAAUCUCUCUCCUUCAUCUCAUCCUAAGAAAGUGAGACCCUUUCCCCAUGACCAAGUGGACAGUUUCCCAAGGGUCAGGAGCAGAGCUGGGAAUACCAAAAGGAUUCUGAUUUUUCAGAAGUCCCAGAAGAGAACUGGCAUUUAUACCAAAGCAAUUCAACAGCAAUUUUGGCAUUUGUAAUUGGCUCAUAGUGUCAGCAAACCAGCCAGAAUGUUUUUCUAAUACACUAAGACGGGUUUAACCAGAAGGUGUUGCCAAAAACAGUCCACCCCACAAGAGAAAUCUCAUACAUAUGAAUCAUGGCUGGGCUAGUGUUUGAGAGGCUCUCUGUUUUGACUAGAUAUUAUCAAUUUGAUUAGAUAAUUGUUUGGUUAACCAGAUGAUGGUCAUUCAACAUCCAUGGUGAGAGGGAGCCUAUUUUUCCAAGCACUACUGACCAGCAGCUCUCCUGACUUCCCAGUCUAACCAGACUUAGAAUAGCUGAAUCUCUUAUUUAUGAUUCAAUAAGAAAUGAAAGAAAACUUUGCUUUGGGGGAGGGGCGGGGUUAAAAUAUUUUGAUUUCUAAGUGACAUCGGGUUGAAGGAUCUGCAUGUAAUUCCCAAACCACCAUAAUUAUGAUUAAUAAAUAUAGUAGCAAUUCUCAUC